rnacentral:tRNA from 1 species
GGUUCCAUGGUGUAAUGGUUAGCACUCUGAACUCUGAAUCCAGCAAUCCGAGUUCAAAUAAUGGUUAGCACUCUGGACUCUGAAUCCAGCAAUCCGAGUUCAAAUCUUGAUGGAACCU